GCGUUAUGGCCCCCACCUGAAAAAAUAAGAUGUUGCUGAGAAAAAGCCAGCAGGGCUGGAACAAAGUGUGAAAAAAGGAGCUGAUCUGGGGGCAAAGAAUCGCCCUUGGCGUCAUGGAUCACUGCUUUUCCUCAAAUUAGAAAAACGAGGCCUGAGCUGAGUGCAACUGUGAGCUUGUUCCUACAGCUAGCAGAAAGCAAGGAAGUUCUUAGUGGCUCUUAGGACAGAGCUGUUUCCAAAGUGGCCUUUGAUCAGGUCAGCUACAGCCUGGAAAAGAUGGGCCAUGUGGUCAGAGAUGCCCUGCCACAGCUGCUCAAACCCUACAUCUGCAGACCUGACCGUGUCUUCAGGAAGAAAAGGCCGUGAGGAACCCUUUUGAGGCUACUUUGGAAAUCAUUGCAACAAACAUUUGGAAUCUUCCAGCAUUUUUCUACAUAGGUUACUGAGUGCUCUGUUUUACCCCAAGCCACAGCUGACAAGAAGAGCUACCAACAGCAUACUAACUUGUUGUGUAGAGCUAAGAGUCUCUAGAAAUCCCUUUGGUGCUUUUCAAAGUCAUCUUCAGGGUGCAAUAGAAAGGUUUGACAGCAUUGAGUGAAACUGACCCUUUGCUCCCCUGCCAAUCAAUAGUCAAGGCAGAGAGUUUCUGGAAUAAGAUCCUGAAGAGCGCUACCACCAUACGGGGCAGGCCUGCAGCUCUAGCACCAGCUCCUUUGCUGGAGGCCUACAGAGUUUGAAGAGGGCUGCCGCUAGCUCCUCCUCUAGCCCUGGCCCUACAAGGGGAACUGGCUCCCUGCUGCUUUUCCCUCCUACAAGGAACAGCCUUUCUU
ensembl:lncRNA